rnacentral:sRNA from 1 species
GCAGUUGUCUUUGGUAGUUUUUUUGCACUAACUUCAGGAACCAGCUCAUGAUCUCAGGAUGUAUGGAAAAAUAAUCUUUGUAUUACUAUUGUCAGCAAUUGUGAGCAUAUCAGCAUUAAGUACCACUGAGGUGGCAAUGCACACUUCAACCUCUUCUUCAGUCACAAAGAGUUACAUCUCAUCAGAGACAAAUGAUAAGAACAAACGUGACACAUAUCCAGCUCAUAGUGUUAAUGAAGUUUCAGAAAAUUCUGUUACAACUGUUUACCCUCCAGAAGAGGAAAAUGAUAUGUUCUUAAUUUUAAAUAGUUGCUCUGGAGUCAUUGUUGUGAUUGAACUCUAUUUACACGAGCUGUAACUCAUGACAGUUCUCAAACUUUCGUGACAGAAAACCCAUCUGUUUUACUCCAAAGCCCAUAUACCACCCACAACUAUUAACUGUGACCAAGAAAGAGAAGGCAAGCCCCAAUUAACGUUUGAACGUAAAGCCUAAAGAAUGAAAACAUAUACCUGAAUCCUCAAUCAUCAAACAACAUAGUAUAUACUAAGUAAUUUGUAAUAAUUAAACUCUAGAAAAUUGUGUGGCUUUGGUAGUAAGAGAGCUUCAUGA